rnacentral:rRNA from 1 species
GUCUAUAGCCAUGCUACCCUGAACAAGCUCGAUCCUGUCUGAUCUCAGAAGCUAAGCAGGGUUGGGCCUGAUUAGUACUUGGAUGGGAGACCACCUUGAAAGACCAGGUGCUGUAAGCG